rnacentral:rRNA from 1 species
GAUGAACGCUGGCGGCGUGCCUAAUACAUGCAAGUCGAGCGAACAGAUGAGGAGCUUGCUCCUCUGACGUUAGCGGCGGACGGGUGAGUAACACGUGGAUAACCUACCUAUAAGACUGGGAUAACUUCGGGAAACCGGAGCUAAUACCGGAUAAUAUAUUGAACCGCAUGGUUCAAUAGUGAAAGACGGUUUUGCUGUCACUUAUAGAUGGAUCCGCGCCGCAUUAGCUAGUUGGUAAGGUAACGGCUUACCAAGGCAACGAUGCGUAGCCGACCUGAGAGGGUGAUCGGCCACACUGGAACUGAGACACGGUCCAGACUCCUACGGGAGGCAGCAGUAGGGAAUCUUCCGCAAUGGGCGAAAGCCUGACGGAGUAACGCCGCGUGAGUGAUGAAGGUUUUCGGAUCGUAAAACUCUGUUAUUAGGGAAGAACAAAUGUGUAAGUAACUAUGCACGUCUUGACGGUACCUAAUCAGAAAGCCACGGCUAACUACGUG